AACGAACGCUGGCGGCAGGCUUAACACAUGCAAGUCGAACGCAUCCUUCGGGGUGAGUGGCAGACGGGUGAGUAACGCGUGGGAACGUGCCCUUCAGCUCGGAAUAACCCAGGGAAACUUGGGCUAAUACCGGAUACGUGCGAGAGCAGAAAGAUUUAUCGCUGAAGGAUCGGCCCGCGUCUGAUUAGCUAGUUGGUGAGGUAAUGGCUCACCAAGGCGACGAUCAGUAGCUGGUCUGAGAGGAUGAUCAGCCACAUUGGGACUGGGACACGGCCCAAACUCCUACGGGAGGCAGCAGUGGGGAAUAUUGGACAAUGGGCGCAAGCCUGAUCCAGCCAUGCCGCGUGAGUGAUGAAGGCCUUAGGGUUGUAAAGCUCUUUCAGUGGGGACGAUAAUGACGGUACCCGCAGAAGAAGCCCCGGCUAACUCCGUGCCAGCCGCCGCCGUAA
rnacentral:rRNA from 1 species